AAAACGAUCUUGGCCAACGGAUAUUUGGGCUCUGGCUCGGAGGAAGAAGGAAGGGAAAUCGAAUACUGGGUGUGAAUGCCGGAAUCCCGGAAAUCAUGGAGUCUUUGAACGCAAGUGGCGCCCGCCCCCAUUCGCCGGAGGCCAUUUUUGCCGGGGGGCCACGC
rnacentral:rRNA from 1 species